GGGCGCGCCCCGGGCGGGGCGGGGGCACGGGGGGAACGCGAAGAACCUUACCUGGUCUUGACAUCCACAGAACUUUCCAGAGAUGGAUUGGUGCCUUCGGGAACUGUGAGACAGGUGCUGCAUGGCUGUCGUCAGCUCGUGUUGUGAAAUGUUGGGUUAAGUCCCGCAACGAGCGCAACCCUUAUCCUUUGUUGCCAGCGGUUAGGCCGGGAACUCAAAGGAGACUGCCAGUGAUAAACCGGAGGAAGGUGGGGAUGACGUCAAGUCAUCAUGGCCCUUACGACCAGGGCUACACACGUGCUACAAUGGCGCAUACAAAGGGAAGCGACCUCGCGAGAGCAAGCGGACCUCAUAAAGUGCGUCGUAGUCCGGAUUGGAGUCUGCAACUCGACUCCAUGAAGUCGGAAUCGCUAGUAAUCAUGGAUCAGAAUG
rnacentral:rRNA from 1 species